UACGAAGGGGGCUAGCGUUGCUCGGAAUCACUGGGCGUAAAGCGCACGUAGGCGGAUUGCUAAGUCAGGGGUGAAAUCCUGGAGCUCAACUCCAGAACUGCCUUUGAUACUGGCGAUCUUGAGUCCGGGAGAGGUGAGUGGAACUGCGAGUGUAGCGGUGAAAUGCGUAGAUAUCGGAAGGAACAUCAGUGGCGAAAGCGGCUUCCUGGACCAGUACCGACGUUCAGGCACGAAAGCGUGGGGAGCAAACAAG
rnacentral:rRNA from 1 species